rnacentral:ncRNA from 1 species
AUGAAAGAAAAAAAUUAAAGUACAAAAAAGCAAAGAUUAUCCCUUGUACCUUUUGCAUAAUGAAUUAACUAACAUAAGACUUAACAAAACAAAUUUUGGCUAAGUGACCUGAAACCGAUGAGCUACUUACAAACAGUUUAUCAAGAACCAACUCAUCUAUGUGGCAAAAUAGUGAGAAGAUUUGUAAGUAGAGGUGACACGCCUAACGAACCUGGCGAUAGCUGGUGUCCAGAAAAUGAAUCUUAGAUCAGCUUUAAAGAUACCAAAAAAUCCAAAUAGAUCCCACUGUAUUUUUAAAAGUUAGUCUAAAAAAGUACAGCCUUUUAGAAAUGGAUACAACCUUAACUAGAGAGUAAGAUCCAACAACACCAUAGAAAGCCUAAAAGCAGCCACCAAUUAAGAAAGCGUUAAAGCUUAACAAUAAAAAUGGCACUAAUCCCAACAUUAAAUAGCCAACUCCUAGCCCUAAUACUGGACUAAUCUAUUGGGAAAUAGAAGUAAUAAUGUUAAUAUGAGUAACAAGAAACACCUUAUCCUUGCAUAAGUUUAAGUCAGUAUCUGAUAAUACUCUAUUACAACAGUGAAUAAAGAUAACCCAAUAAUAAGCAAUUUAUUAAUAUACUGUUAAUCCAACACAGGAAUGCACUUAAGGAAAGGUUAAAAGAAGUAAAAGGAACUCGAAAACAUAAACCCCGCAUGUUUACCAAAAACAUCACCACCAGCAUCCCCAGUAUUGGAGGAACUGCUUGCCCAGUGACAAUCAUUAAACGGCCGCAGUAUCCUGACCGUGCAAAGGUAGCAUGAUCAUUUGUUCUCUAAAUAAGGGCUUGUAUGAAUGGCCAUACGAGGGUUUUACUGUCUCUUAUUUCCAAUCAGUGAAAUUGACCUCCCCGUGAAUAGGCGGGAAUAGACUAAUAAGACGAGAAGACCCUAUGGAGCUUUAACUAACUAGUCCAGAAAAAAUAAACUCAACCACCAGGGGGUAAUAACACUCUUUAUGGACUAACAGUUUUGGCUGGGGUGACCUCAGAGAACAAAAAAUCCUCCAAGCGAUUUUAAAGACUAGACCCACAAGUCAAAUCACACUAUCACUUAUUGAUCCAAAAAUUUGAUCAAUGGAACAAGUUAUCCUAGGGAUAACAAUGCAAUCCUAUUCAAGAGUCCAUGACCUUGAUGUUGGAUCAGGACAUCCAGGUUCAAUCCCACUAACACUCCUAUUUUUCUUCCUAGUUCCUUUGUCUUACCGAGUUUUGUGUGGUUUUUUAUAUUUCUUUCCACUAGUCAGGUACUCCUGUCCACUCUCAGGUGGUGUUCUGCAUGCACUUCUGUGU